rnacentral:lncRNA from 1 species
UCCAAAUGUUCUAUUUUCAAAUAUAUACUAGGUUAGUCUGUAUAAAAUGUUUACCCUAUUUCAAGUGACAUCACAAUGUAUCUUUUAUAUUUGAAAAAUAAGGGGUGCUAUUAAUAAUUAUGAUGGGACAAGAGGAAUAAAUCUAGACCUUCCUAGACAAACUGGAACAUAUGAUCAUCCACCAGGAAGAAGAUAGCAAGACAAAACAUCCCCAUCCUGCAUUUAUCUGAAGCCCUUGAGGACAUCAACCUCAUGUGUCUCAUAUUCUCAUCAUCUAGAACCAUGCCAACAAUUUUUUUGAUGCUUCCAUAAAGUUAUUUAAAGAAUGAAUAGAUGAAAGUAAGAUAGCAGGGAAGUCACACAUAGUUUUGAAUGUCAUUAUUCAGCAAUUUAAUGUCUAGCUGCAAUUAUGAGUGAUUAAAUUUCCAAAUUAGAAGCAAGUUCCUUCAUGAGUAAAAGACAAUCAUGAAUCUAUCAAUAACAGCCAAGAUUCCUGCAGAUCUUCUGACUAUGGC